UGGGAAAUAGCUCAGUUGGUUAGAGUGCUGGUCUGUCACGCCAGAAGUCGCGGGUUCGAACCCCGUUUUCCCCG
rnacentral:tRNA from 3 species